rnacentral:rRNA from 1 species
GAUGCAGCGACGCCGCGUGAAGGAAGAAGUAUCUCGGUAUGUAAACUUCUAUCAGCAGGGAAGAAAAUGACGGUACCUGACUAAGAAGCCCCGGCUAACUACGUGCCAGCAGCCGCGGUAAUACGUAGGGGGCAAGCGUUAUCCGGAUUUACUGGGUGUAAAGGGAGCGUAGACGGAAGAGCAAGUCUGAUGUGAAAGGCUGGGGCUUAACCCCAGGACUGCAUUGGAAACUGUUUUUCUAGAGUGCCGGAGAGGUAAGCGGAAUUCCUAGUGUAGCGGUGAAAUGCGUAGAUAUUAGGAGGAACACCAGUGGCGAAGGCGGCUUACUGGACGGUAACUGACGUUGAGGCUCGAAAGCGUGGGGAGCAAACAGGAUUAGAUACCCUGGUAGUCCACGCCGUAAAC